rnacentral:rRNA from 1 species
GUGUCAGCAGCCGCGGUAAAACGUAGGAGGCAAGCGUUAUCCGGAGUUACUGGGCGUAAAGCGCACGCAGGCGGACUAGUAAGUGGGUCGUGAAAGCGCCCGGCUAAACCGGGCGAGGACGAUUCAGACUGCCGGUCUAGAGUCGGAUAGAGGAGCGCGGAAUUCCGGGUGUAGCGGUGAAAUGUGUAGAGAUCCGGAGGAACACCAGUGGCGCAAGCGGCGCUCUGGGUCCGAACUGACGCUGAGGUGCGAAAGCGUGGGGAGCGAACGGGAUUAGAAACCCCUGUAGUCC